GAUGAACGCUGGCGGCGUGCCUAAUACAUGCAAGUCGAGCGAACGGACGAGAAGCUUGCUUCUCCGAUGUUAGCGGCGGACGGGUGAGUAACACGUGGAUAACCUACCUAUAAGACUGGGAUAACUUCGGGAAACCGGAGCUAAUACCGGAUAAUAUUUUGAACCGCAUGGUUCAAAGGUGAAAGACGGUCUUGCUGUCACUUAUAGAUGGAUCCGCGCUGCAUUAGCUAGUUGGUAAGGUAACGGCUUACCAAGGCAACGAUGCAUAGCCGACCUGAGAGGGUGAUCGGCCACACUGGAACUGAGACACGGUCCAGACUCCUACGGGAGGCAGCAGUAGGGAAUCUUCCGCAAUGGGCGAAAGCCUGACGGAGCAACGCCGCGUGAGUGAUGAAGGUCUUCGGAUCGUAAAACUCUGUUAUUAGGGAAGAACAUAUGUGUAAGUAACUGUGCACAUCUUGACGGUACCUAAUCAGAAAGCCACGGCUAACUACGUG
rnacentral:rRNA from 1 species